CUGAGAAUGUCAGUGCUGCCAAAUGAAAGCAGAACUAAAAAGGAAAACACUUGUUUCUCAGGGGACGUAUAACGAAGAAGAAACAUCAGUUUGGCGGGCCAAAUUGAACGUCGCAACUAAAUAUUUAUAACAGUUAGAAUAACAUUGAAGAUGAGGUUCCGAGCAAAAAUGAAUGAUGUUCGUUGCCUUAAUAAUUUCACACUCAUUGGCAGCAGAGAACUGGAAGGAAAGGCGGCCAAAGGAGGAAUUGGCUUUGGG
ensembl:lncRNA